rnacentral:rRNA from 1 species
UGGGGAAUCUUGGACAAUGGGCGCAAGCCUGAUCCAGCCAUGCCGCGUGAGUGAAGAAGGCCUUCGGGUUGUAAAGCUCUUUUACCAGGGACGAUAAUGACGGUACCUGGAGAAUAAGCCCCGGCAAACUUCGUGCCAGCAGCCGCGGUAAUACGAAGGGGGCUAGCGUUGUUCGGAAUUACUGGGCGUAAAGCGCACGUAGGCGGAUUGUUAAGUCAGAGGUGAAAUCCCGGAGCUCAACUUCGGAACUGCCUUUGAUACUGGCAAUCUCGAGUCCGGAAGAGGUUAGUGGAAUUCCCAGUGUAGAGGUGAAAUUCGUAGAUAUUGGGAAGAACACCAGUGGCGAAGGCGGCUAACUGGUCCGGUACUGACGCUGAGGUGCGAAAGCGUGGGGAGCAAACAGGAUUAGAUACCCUAGUAGUCCCUGAGCGGGCUGGCAAGGCGCAU